AGAACGGGGAAUUAGGGUUCUAUUCCGGAGAGGGAGCCUGAGAAACGGCUACCACUUCCAAGGGGGGCAGGCGCGCAAAUUACCCAAUCCUAAUUCUGGGAGGUAGUGACAAGAAAUACCAUUGGCUGGCACUACGUGCGAGCUAUUUGGAAUGAGAACAAUUUAAACACCUUAACGAGGAACAAAUGGAGGGCAAGUCUGGUGCCAGCAGCCGCGGUAAUUCCAGCUCCAUCAGUGUAUAUUAACGCUGUUGCGGUUAAAAAGCCCGUAGUUGGAUUUCGGAGUUGCGAAGGUCAAGACCCAUCGAAUCGGUGUGGUCCGACAGUCGCCUCCUACCUUUUCGGGUAACAGCCUCGCUUCCUUUUGCGGGUUGCGAUGUGCAGUUCCUGAUCAUUUACUUUGAUAAAAUCAGAGUGUUCAAAGCAGGCGUCACUUGCCUUGAAUGUUGCCGCAAGGGAUAAUAGAAUAUGACUUCGGUCUUAUUUUGUUGGUUUCUAGGGCUGAAGUAAUGACUAAUAGGGACAGUUGGGGGCGCUCGUAUUGAGUUGUCAGAGGUAAAAUUCUAGGAUUUACUCAAGACGGACUACUGCGAAAGCAUUCGCCAAGGAUGUUUUCAUUAAUCAAGAACGAAAGUAGGGGGAUCGAAGAUGAUCAGAUACCGUCGUAGUCUCUACCAUAAACUAUGUGGACCAACGAUCCGAGGAAGUUACAUGGAUGACUCUCCGGGCAGUUUGUGAGAAAUCAUAAGUAUUUGCAUUCCGGGGGGAGUAUGGUCGCAAGGCUGAAACUUAAAGGAAUUGACGGAAGGGCACCACCAGGAGUGGAACCUGCGGCUUAAUUUGACCCAACACGGGGAAACUUACCAGGUCCGGACACAGUUAGGAUUGACAGAUUGAGAGCUCUUUCUUGAUUCUGUGGGUGGUGGUGCAUGGCCGUUUUUUAGUUGGUGGAGUGAUUUGUCUGGUUAAUUCCGUUAACGAACGAGACCUUAACCUAUUAAUUAGUUAUGCGAACUUGGACUUAGGUCCUUUCAGUUCGUGGACAACUUCUUAGAGGGACUCUCGGCAUCUCUAGCCGAUGGAAGUUUGAGGCUAAAACAGGUCUGUGAUGCCCUUAGAUGUCCUGGGCCGCACGCGCGUUACACUGACGAAUGCAACGAGUAUAUAUCCUUCUCCGAAGGGAGUGGGUAUGCUUUGAAAAGUUCGUCGUGAUGGGGAUUGAACCUUGCAAUUAUUGUUCAUGAACGAGGAAUUCUUAGUAAGCGUAGUUCAUCAAACUGCGUUGAUUACGUCCCUGCCCUUUGUACACACCGCCCGUCGCUAGUACCGAUUGAAUGAUCCGGUGAGGAUUCAGGACGGCGGAUUUUAGUUUGCCUGAAAGGGUAAGCGGGUCCUGCCGAAAUUUGUUCAAACCGUGUCAUUUAGAGGAACUAAAAGUCGUAACAAGGUU
rnacentral:rRNA from 1 species